AUUGAACGCUGGCGGCAUGCCUUACACAUGCAAGUCGAACGGUAACAGGUCUUCGGAUGCUGACGAGUGGCGAACGGGUGAGUAAUACAUCGGAACGUGCCUAGUAGUGGGGGAUAACUACUCGAAAGAGUGGCUAAUACCGCAUGAGAUCUACGGAUGAAAGCAGGGGAUCGCAAGACCUUGUGCUACUAGAGCGGCCGAUGGCAGAUUAGGUAGUUGGUGGGAUAAAAGCUUACCAAGCCGACGAUCUGUAGCUGGUCUGAGAGGACGAUCAGCCACACUGGGACUGAGACACGGCCCAGACUCCUACGGGAGGCAGCAGUGGGGAAUUUUGGACAAUGGGCGAAAGCCUGAUCCAGCAAUGCCGCGUGCAGGAUGAAGGCCUUCGGGUUGUAAACUGCUUUUGUCAGGGAAGAAAUCUUCUGGGCUAAUACCCUGGGAGGAUGACGGUACCUGAAGAAUAAGCACCGGCUAACUACGUGCCAGCAGCCGCCGUAAAAC
rnacentral:rRNA from 1 species